UGGAGAGUUUGAUCCUGGCUCAGGACGAACGCUGGCGGCGUGCCUAAUACAUGCAAGUCGAGCGGACAGAUGGGAGCUUGCUCCCUGAUGUUAGCGGCGGACGGGUGAGUAACACGUGGGUAACCUGCCUGUAAGACUGGGAUAACUCCGGGAAACCGGGGCUAAUACCGGAUGGUUGUUUGAACCGCAUGGUUCAAACAUAAAAGGUGGCUUCGGCUACCACUUACAGAUGGACCCGCGGCGCAUUAGCUAGUUGGUGAGGUAACGGCUCACCAAGGCAACGAUGCGUAGCCGACCUGAGAGGGUGAUCGGCCACACUGGGACUGAGACACGGCCCAGACUCCUACGGGAGGCAGCAGUAGGGAAUCUUCCGCAAUGGACGAAAGUCUGACGGAGCAACGCCGCGUGAGUGAUGAAGGUUUUCGGAUCGUAAAGCUCUGUUGUUAGGGAAGAACAAGUACCGUUCGUAAUAGGGCGGUAC
rnacentral:rRNA from 1 species